GUGACGUCAACAUGCUGCGUCCCAAUCCUGCUCCUCCGCCCGGGUGAGCCCCGGAGCCCUGGCUUAGCCCGCGGUGAUCUCAUUGGUCGGUGCCCGCGUGGGCCCUUGAGUCAUUCAACAAAGGUUAUUAAUAUGUAAGUUAGUGGCAGCCCAGUGGGGGACGGUAUUAUACAAGUAUGGAAUUUUAAAAAGACUAAUUUGUCUUCUAGAAAUCAGUCCCAUCAAGGCUGGCUCCUCUUCCUCUACGUUACCAUACUGUGUUAUUCUGUCUGGCACUCCUGUGUUUUCGUCACCAUUUGCUUUUUCAUUCAUUCCUUCACUCACCCAUUCAACAAAUAUUUGUUGCUGGCCUUUUUUUUUAAUGCCACCCACGUAAGACGCUGAGUAUGAAACAGCACGAAAGAGAUGUGGUACCUGUUCCCGUGGAGCUAAAAUUCUAGUGGCUGAAACAGGCAAAUCUUAAAGGUUGGUGGUUCAAACUCACCCAGCAGCUCCUCAGAAGAAAGGCCUGGCAAACUGCUUCGGUAAAGAUUACAGCGAAGAAGAACCUAUGGAGCAGUUCUACUUUGUAACACACGGGGUCGCCAUGAGUCAGAGGCUACUACCUGGCAGCUAACAACAGCAGCAUAGGAUCUGACACAUAGUAAGCAUUUCUAUAAAUGUUGAAGGAAUAAAUGGAAUGGAAUGGAAUAUGUGCACCAACUAAAUAGAAUAACCAGUUUACAAAGCACUUUGUAUUUUUGGAAGUACUUUUCUAUACAUUAUUCCGCUGGACAGUCACAAUACUGUCUUGAAACAGUGUGAUUUAACCCAGUUUAUUAAAAAAGAAGUUAAUCCAAGUGUCUCAGAGAAGUCUAUUUAAAUUAUUUUUCUAAAAAUGAAAAUCCAUAAAAGGAAUUAUUUUAACGUUAGCUCUAAGGACUGUAGGUACUCACAGACUUCCCAAAGGAAGCAUGAAGAGGUCAUCUGCUUUGUACGAGAGAGAAAAUGAUGCAGCAAUAAAUGGAAGGCAAA